CUAGAAGUAACACUCCACUGUUUUUUUGACAUAGGGAUAACCUCAUGGUAUGCUUUGGCUUUUUUCCUAGAUAGUGAUAUAGUUGGUGACUCUAUAAGUUAUUUUCUUGUCUCUGUUAAAUGUGGAACUCGGGUCCCUAACAAUGCUUGGAAAUGCUAUUCUAGAUUCAGCAUUACUAAGUGGCAAGGACAUUUCUAAUGAGAACCUCAAGUGGAGUGUAUUAUUAAAGUCACUCCAUGUUUGAGGUUCUAAUUAUAGUAGUGGUUGUUAUUAUAACGUAAUUCCAAUUACUAUAACUUACAAUUAAGCACCGUAUUACUAUUUUAAAUUUUUCUUGAUCACAAUAUUUACUAUUUUCUACCUAUUCUCUCUUCGACUAAAAUAGUCUGCGGCCUGAACACAAACUGUUAUAACCUAACCAAAAUACUAUUAUAACUGAAGCAAUAUAAUAAUCAAUUGAGUGAUCCAUA
rnacentral:lncRNA from 1 species